rnacentral:rRNA from 1 species
UACGAAGGGUGCAAACGUUGCUCGGAAUUAUUGGGCGUAAAGCGCACGUAGGCGGCUUAGCAAGUCGGAAGUGAAAGCCCUCGGCUCAACCAAGGAAGUGCUUUCGAAACUGCUGAGCUUGAGUAGUUAAGAGGAUCGCGGAAUUCCCGGUGUAGAGGUGAAAUUCGUAGAUAUUGGGAAGAACACCGGUGGCGAAGGCGGCGACCUGGUCCGAUACUGACGCUGAGGCGCGAAAGCGUGGGGAGCAAACAGG